rnacentral:lncRNA from 1 species
GGCGGCGGGGCUCCAAGGAAGGGCGGUCCCGGGGGCGGCUGUCUCGGAGUGCGGCUGAGGGGCCAGCCCCUCAGAGGGGGCGCCUCUGCCCUGAGCAGCGUCCAGGCCCCUGGUUCUAGGAGCCAAGACAAGCGCUAGGGUGGAGGCGCGCAGAGCACGGAGGAGGGGACCAGCCAGAGAGGUAAUCCCCGAGCCGGGAAGGGCACGAGGACUCACGCCAGACCGCGACCUGGACAACCCGGCCUCGGGAACCAGCCCCGCGCAGGGCGGGACUUCAGGUGGGGAACUCCUGCACUUUGGCCAGUGUUUAAUGCCCGUGGAAGCCUGGCACAGAGAGAUUCACACCCUUCACCCACCAUGGUCCCGGAGAGCCUGAUGGCAAUGCCUGACCUCAGGAACAGGAGACCAACAAAAUACACUUUCUUGGCUUGGUGCUGUGGCUCAUGCCUGUAAUCCCAACACUUUGGGAGUCCAAGAAAAAUUAGCCAGACAUGGUGGUAUGCGCCUACUC